CACGUAGUUAGCCGGUGCUUUUUCUGCAGGUACUGUCACUUUCGCUUCUUCCCUGCUAAAAGAGGUUUACAACCCGAAGGCCUUCGUCCCUCACGCGGCGUUGCUGCAUCAGGCUUGCGCCCAUUGUGCAAUAUUCCCCACUGCUGCCUCCCGUAGGAGUCUGGGCCGUGUCUCAGUCCCAGUGUGGCCGGUCACCCUCUCAGGCCGGCUACCCGUCGUCGUCUUGGUGAGCCAUUACCUCACCAACUAACUGAUAGGCCGUGAGCUGAUCCUUGACCGAAGUUCUUUCCACGACCAGGAGAUGCCUCCGAUCGUCGUAUCCGGUAUUAGACGCCGUUUCCAGCGCUUAUCCCAGAGUCAAGGGCACAUUGCUCACGUAUUACUCACCCGUUCGCCACUAAUCCAGGAGGAGCAAGCUCCUCCGUCAUCGUUCGACUUGCAUGUGUUAAGCACGCCGCCAGCGUUCGUCCUGUAGCCAGGACUCAAACGUCU
rnacentral:rRNA from 1 species